GUAGCGAAGUGGUUAAACGCUGCGGACUGUAAAUCCGCCACCUUUUGGUUUCGGGGGUUCGAAUCCCUCCCGUCCCA
rnacentral:tRNA from 1 species